GACGAACGCUGGCGGCGUGCUUAACACAUGCAAGUCGAACGGAAAGGCCCCUUUGGGGGUACUCGAGUGGCGAACGGGUGAGUAACACGUGAGUAACCUGCCCUUGACUUCGGGAUAACUUCAGGAAACUGGGGCUAAUACCGGAUAGGAAUCCUUGCUGCAUGGUGGGGGUUGGAAAGCUUCGGCGGUUUUGGAUGGACUCGCGGCUUAUCAGCUUGUUGGUGGGGUAGUGGCUUACCAAGGCUUUGACGGGUAGCCGGCCUGAGAGGGCGACCGGCCACAUUGGGACUGAGAUACGGCCCAGACUCCUACGGGAGGCAGCAGUGGGGAAGAUUGCACAAUGGGCGGAAGCCUGAUGCAGCAACGCCGCGGGCGGGAGGACGGCCUUCGGGUUGGAAACCGCUUUCAGCAGGGGCGAAGCUUGUGGUGACGGUACCUGCAGAAGAAGCACCGGCUAACUACGUG
rnacentral:rRNA from 1 species